GAUGAACGCUGGCGGCGUGCCUAAUACAUGCAAGUCGAGCGAACGGACGAGAAGCUUGCUUCUCUGAUGUUAGCGGCGGACGGGUGAGUAACACGUGGAUAACCUACCUAUAAGACUGGGAUAACUUCGGGAAACCGGAGCUAAUACCGGAUAAUAUUUUGAACCGCAUGGUUCAAAAGUGAAAGACGGUCUUGCUGUCACUUAUAGAUGGAUCCGCGCUGCAUUAGCUAGUUGGUAAGGUAACGGCUUACCAAGGCAACGAUGCAUAGCCGACCUGAGAGGGUGAUCGGCCACACUGGAACUGAGACACGGUCCAGACUCCUACGGGAGGCAGCAGUAGGGAAUCUUCCGCAAUGGGCGAAAGCCUGACGGAGCAACGCCGCGUGAGUGAUGAAGGUCUUCGGAUCGUAAAACUCUGUUAUUAGGGAAGAACAUAUGUGUAAGUAACUGUGCACAUCUUGACGGUACCUAAUCAGAAAGCCACGGCUAACUACGUGCCAGCAGCCGCGGUAAUACGUAGGUGGCAAGCGUUAUCCGGAANUUAUGGGCGUAAAGCGCGCGUAGCGGUUUUUUAGUCUGAUGUGAAGCCCACGGCUCAACCGUGGAGGGUCAUUGGAAACUGGAAAACUUGAGUGCAGAAGAGGAAAGUGGAAUUCCAUGUGUAGCGGUGAAAUGCGCAGAGAUAUGGAGGAACACCAGUGGCGAAGGCGACUUUCUGGUCUGUAACUGACGCUGAUGUGCGAAAGCGUGGGGAUCAAACAGGAUUAGAUACCCUGGUAGUCCACGCCGUAAACGAUGAGUGCUAAGUGUUAGGGGGUUUCCGCCCCUUAGUGCUGCAGCUAACGCACUAAGCACUCCGCCUGGGGAGUACGACCGCAAGGUUGAAACUCAAAGGAAUUGACGGGGACCCGCACAAGCGGUGGAGCAUGUGGUUUAAUUCGAAGCAACGCGAAGAACCUUACCAAAUCUUGACAUCCUUUGACAACUCUAGAGAUAGAGCCUUCCCCUUCGGGGGACAAAGUGACAGGUGGUGCAUGGUUGUCGUCAGCUCGUGUCGUGAGAUGUUGGGUUAAGUCCCGCAACGAGCGCAACCCUUAAGCUUAGUUGCCAUCAUUAAGUUGGGCACUCUAAGUUGACUGCCGGUGACAAACCGGAGGAAGGUGGGGAUGACGUCAAAUCAUCAUGCCCCUUAUGAUUUGGGUUACACACGUGCUACAAUGGACAAUACAAAGGGCAGCGAAACCGCGAGGUCAAGCAAAUCCCAUAAAGUUGUUCUCAGUUCGGAUUGUAGUCUGCAACUCGACUGCAUGAAGCUGGAAUCGCUAGUAAUCGUAGAUCAGCAUGCUACGGUGAAUACGUUCCCGGGUCU
rnacentral:rRNA from 1 species